GAAGGCGGAAGGCAGGAGAGGACUCCCCAGGGUCAGCAGGCCUGCCAAUGGACUGGAAAGCCCGGGAGUAAGUCCCUCCAGUUCCUGUCUGCUGCAAGAAGGAGGCUGAAACCCAAGCAGAUGGUAAUGAAAAUACAAAACAAGCCUUUGGAGGACAAAUCAUUGUUUCACCCGAGGCUCUCUGCCUUUACCCUGAGGUUGGAAUAAGCUUCCUGGUUUCUUCUUUGCCUAUAACCAACAAAAGACAAGCAGUAUCUUAAAAUCUAACUGGGAGACUGUUCCAUAGGCUGCUUCUGGGCCCCCACCUCAAUUGACUCCUCUUACUAGUCCAUCAUCUUCACAUGGAAUGAUAUGUAACUGAUAAAUUAUGAAAAAAAAGGAACCUGAUGGUUUUAUGAAAUGUGAGAUGGCCUCAAGGCAACCCGAGAGACUCAGUCUAAUUCUAGCAGAGACUUGCACUCUGUCUGGCCUGCUUUGUGCAAGUUAUAUUGAUAUAAUAAGACUCCGGAGAAUUUGCUUGACUUCUAAUAUUAUUCACCAGGGUUGCCUGACGUGGAAAACUAUUGAUCCUCCAGGACUGAUAGCAUUUCUUCCAGAGGACGUGGUAACCUGGCGUUGUGAGGGUGAAAGGAGAUCUCACAGAAAAGCAAAGCCUUUGUACAAAUGCAAGGGUAAAAACUGUUUCUGUGUUUGUAUCCUCAGCAUUCAGAAUAGUUCAGUGCACAUAAUGGAUUCUUGUUAAAUGUUUGCUGAAUUACUAUUACAUUGGACCUACACUUUAAUCCACCUCCUAAAGAGAAGUGAUGGACUUCGGAUACAAAAUGAGACAUGCAUUUUUGGACACCACCAAGGAGGGAAUUUCAGGAG